UACGUAGGGUGCGAGCGUUAAUCGGAAUUACUGGGCGUAAAGCGUGCGCAGGCGGUAAUGUAAGACAGGUGUGAAAUCCCCGGGCUCAACCCGGGAACUGCGUCCGAUACUGGAAGGCUUGAAUCCGGGAGAGGGAUGCGGAAUUCCAGGUGUAGCGGUGAAAUGCGUAGAUAUCUGGAGGAAUACCGGUGGCGAAGGCGGCAUCCUGGACCGACAUUGACGCUGAACGGCGAAAGCUAGGGGAGCAAACGGG
rnacentral:rRNA from 1 species